rnacentral:misc_RNA from 1 species
CACAGAUAUUGCUGCUGUGGAACAUGAGCCCAAUUUGAAAUCUCAUGUUUCAGAUACUGGAGUUGACCCUGCAGUUUUCCCCCUCACGGUAAGGCUCCUUUCGACAAUACCAGUAGCACUUCAUGCAGUUGGUGGGAAUGAUGGACCCAUCGACAUCGGAGUUAGGCUAUACAUGAGCUCAUAUUUAAGGUAAUACAUGAUGUUUGAUGUGG